UACGUAGGGUGCAAGCGUUGUCCGGAAUUAUUGGGCGUAAAGAGCUCGUAGGCGGUCUGUCGCGUCGGCUGUGAAAACCUGGGGCUUAACUCCGGGCUUGCAGCCGAUACGGGCAGACUAGAGUUCGGCAGGGGAGACUGGAAUUCCUGGUGCAGCGGUGAAAUGCGCAGAUAUCAGGAGGAACACCGGUGGCGAAGGCGGGUCUCUGGGCCGAAACUGACGCUGAGGAGCGAAAGCGUGGGGAGCAAACAGG
rnacentral:rRNA from 1 species